rnacentral:rRNA from 1 species
UACGUAGGGUGCAAGCGUUAAUCGGAAUUACUGGGCGUAAAGGGCUCGUAGGCGGCCAACUAAGUCAGACGUGAAAUCCCUCGGCUUAACCGGGGAACUGCGUCUGAUACUGGAUGGCUUGAGUUCGGGAGAGGGAUGCGGAAUUCCAGGUGUAGCGGUGAAAUGCGUAGAUAUCUGGAGGAACACCGGUGGCGAAGGCGGCAUCCUGGACCGACACUGACGCUGAAAAGCGAAAGCCAGGGGAGCAAACGGG